rnacentral:rRNA from 1 species
AUUGAACGCUGGCGGCAAGCCUAACACAUGCAAGUCGAACGAGUGGCGGACGGGUGAGUAAUGUCUGGGAAACUGCCUGAUGGAGGGGGAUAACUACUGGAAACGGUAGCUAAUACCGCAUACCAUCGGAUGUGCCCAGAUGGGAGUAGCUAGUCGGUGGGGUAAAGGGUCACCUAGGCGACGAUCCCUAGCUGGUCUGAGAGGAUGACCGGCCCAACUGGAACUGAGACACGGUCCCAACCCCUACUGGAGGUAGCAGGUGGGAAUUUUGGACAAUGGGCGCAAGCCUGAUGGAGCCAUGGCGCGUGUAUGAUGAAGGCCUUCGGGUUGUAAAGUACUUUCAGCGGGGAGGCGUUACCCGCAGAAGAAGCACCGGCUAACUCCGUGCCAGCAGCCGCGGUAAUUC